UACGUAGGUGGCAAGCGUUGUCCGGAUUUAUUGGGCGUAAAGCGGGCACAGGCGGUUCUUUAAGUCUGAUGUGAAAGCCCUCGGCUCAACCGAAGAAGUGCAUCGGAAACUGGGAAACUUGAGUGCAGAAGAGGACAGUGGAACUCCAUGUGUAGCGGUGAAAUGCGUAGAUAUAUGGAAGAACACCAGUGGCGAAGGCGGCUGUCUGGUCUGUAACUGACGCUGAGGCUCGAAAGUAUGGGUAGCAAAACAGG
rnacentral:rRNA from 1 species